UACGUAGGAGACGAGCGUUGUCCGGAAUUACUGGGCGUAAAGCGCGUGUAGGCGGAUGAGCAAGUCUGCUGUGAAAGCUCCUGGCUUAACCGGGAGUGGUCGGUGGAAACUGCUCGUCUGGAGGACGGUAGAGGUAGGUAGAAUUCCCGGUGUAGUGGUGAAAUGCGCAGAUAUCAGGAGGAACACCGGUGGCGAAGGCGGGUCUCUGGGCCGAUACUGACGCUGAGGAGCGAAAGCGUGGGGAGCGAACAGG
rnacentral:rRNA from 1 species